GCAGUCGAGCGGAGAGAGGUAGCUUGCUACUGAUCUUAGCGGCGGACGGGUGAGUAAUGCUUAGGAAUCUGCCUAUUAGUGGGGGACAACAUUUCGAAAGGAAUGCUAAUACCGCAUACGUCCUACGGGAGAAAGCAGGGGAUCUUCGGACCUUGCGCUAAUAGAUGAGCCUAAGUCGGAUUAGCUAGUUGGUGGGGUAAAGGCCUACCAAGGCGACGAUCUGUAGCGGGUCUGAGAGGAUGAUCCGCCACACUGGGACUGAGACACGGCCCAGACUCCUACGGGAGGCAGCAGUGGGGAAUAUUGGACAAUGGGCGGAAGCCUGAUCCAGCCAUGCCGCGUGUGUGAAGAAGGCCUUAUGGUUGUAAAGCACUUUAAGCGAGGAGGAGGCUACUUUAGUUAAUACCUAGAGAUAGUGGACGUUACUCGCAGAAUAAGCACCGGCUAACUCUGUGCCAGCAGCCGCGGUAAUACAGAGGGUGCAAGCGUUAAUCGGAUUUACUGGGCGUAAAGCGCGCGUAGGCGGCUAAUUAAGUCAAAUGUGAAAUCCCCGAGCUUAACUUGGGAAUUGCAUUCGAUACUGGUUAGCUAGAGUGUGGGAGAGGAUGGUAGAAUUCCAGGUGUAGCGGUGAAAUGCGUAGAGAUCUGGAGGAAUACCGAUGGCGAAGGCAGCCAUCUGGCCUAACACUGACGCUGAGGUGCGAAAGCAUGGGGAGCAAACAGGAUUAGAUACCCUGGUAGUCCAUGCCGUAAACGAUGUCUACUAGCCGUUGGGGCCUUUGAGGCUUUAGUGGCGCAGCUAACGCGAUAAGUAGACCGCCUGGGGAGUACGGUCGCAAGACUAAAACUCAAAUGAAUUGACGGGGGCCCGCACAAGCGGUGGAGCAUGUGGUUUAAUUCGAUGCAACGCGAAGAACCUUACCUGGCCUUGACAUAGUAAGAACUUUCCAGAGAUGGAUUGGUGCCUUCGGGAACUUACAUACAGGUGCUGCAUGGCUGUCGUCAGCUCGUGUCGUGAGAUGUUGGGUUAAGUCCCGCAACGAGCGCAACCCUUUUCCUUAUUUGCCAGCGAGUAAUGUCGGGAACUUUA
rnacentral:rRNA from 1 species